rnacentral:rRNA from 1 species
GGCUCAGAGCGAACGUUAGCGGCGGGCCUAACACAUGCAAGUCGAGCGAGAAAGUGGCUUUUCGGCCAUCAGUAAAGCGGCGGACGGGUGAGUAACACGUAGGUAAUCUUCCCUUGAGCGGGGACAACGGUCCGAAAGGACCGCUAAUACCGCGUACGUUUCCAGAGGCCCCGGUCUUUGGAAGGAAAGCUAGGCAGCAAUGUCUGGCACUCGAGGAGGAGCCUGCGUCGCAUCAGCUAGUUGGUGGGGUAACGGCCUACCAAGGCGAAGACGCGUAGCUGGUCUGAGAGGAUGAUCAGCCACACUGGGACUGAGACACGGCCCAGACUCCUACGGGAGCAGCAGUGGGGAAUAUUGGACAAUGGCGCAAGCCUGAUCCAGCCACGCCGCGUGAGUGAUGAAGGCCUUCGGGUCGUAAAGCUCUGUGGGGAGGGACGAACCGCUGCUGGUUCAUAGCCAGCAGCAUGACGGUACCUCCUUAGCAAGCACCGGCUAACUUCGUGCCAGCAGCCGCGGUAA